UUACGGCCAUAUCACAUUGAAACACCGGUUCCCGUCCGAUCGCCUAAGUUAAGUAACGUCGAGUUUGGUCAGUACUUAGAUAGGUAACCGCUUGGAAUUCCAUGUGCUGUAAG